ACUUAUUUAUCAAAACUUUAAUGUUAUUUUUUAUUAAUAUUAAAUACAUAAGAAAAUAAAAAAAGCAAAAGGAUUACAGUAAACAGAAGUAGAAAAGCAGAAUGCGAAACAACAAAAAUACUAAACCAAUAGUAUGUGCAGUUUAUGUUUUAUUUUGAAUUAUUAUUCGGUGAAUUAUUCAGUGAAAAUUAUAACGGCUCAUAAAGUGCGAAGGCAUAUUAUAAAUUUUUAAUUGCAGCAACAAUGAAUAAUCACACUUAUAACCUAGGAAGAUUUGAUCUUGAUGUUGAAACGCCUAGGACAACAAGAUAUAAUAGGCAUAGAAGACGGGAAAGAGACGCUUCUUCAUCAGAUUCAAGUAUUGAAAAUCAGAGGUGGCGAGACAACUAUGCUUAAGUUGCAGAAGUUUUGCAUGAAAUUGAUAACACUUCUGUCAGUGAUGAAUCUACUACAUCUCAGUCAUUACCAGGAUCUUCUGUAGCAAUACCUGUUUUGUCGCCAAGAAAUGAAUCAGAAUCUAGUUUGUCGCCUGCUCUUCAAGUAAUCUCUGCUUCUCCUGAAUCAACUGAUAAUGAUGAAACUGGAAAUGUACCUCCCUCAGUAUCAGAUGCACUAUCAUAUAUGAAUGAUAAGCCAAAACUCCAUCUACAUCAAAUACUACCAAGAACAAAAAAGCUUCCACUUUUCAAAAUGCUGAAACUCCACCUUCUACCUAUAGUGAUAAAAAUUUGAAAACUCCUUCGUCAGUACAGUAUUCUAAAAAACAUCCUAUUCAACCAUGCAACAUUUUUUUAAAUAAUAUAAUGGAUGGAUCUUCUUCUGAAGUCAAUUAUAGAAACAUCAGAAGACCAAUUAGGCAGUUACAGCAUCUAUCUCCAGAUAUAUCUAAAAUGAAACACUCUAUAUCUAUAUAUUCAUGUGGUAAAAGAAGUUUACACACACAAAUUACGCCAUCGACAAGCAGAGCUUCUACUGACCAUGAACAUGUAACACCUAUAGCAUCAACAAGUAGAGUUGAAAAAGAACGUACAAAUUUUGAAAGCAAAAGUGAAAGAAAAAAAAAAUUAACCAACGAUCAAGAUGAAAUUAUUUUGAAAAAAAAAAGAAAUUGACUUUUAAAGAAAGAGCUAUUGUCGAAAAAAAAAGAAAUAAAAGAAACGAAAAAAGUGAAAGGAAAGAAACAAAUGAAGCCGUAAACAAAAAAUCAUUGAAGAAGAUUAAACAAAAAAAAGAAAUACUAAAGAAAAUUAAAAUCUGUGCUCUACGAUAGUGACGAUUACAUGCAAUCAGACUGUGACUUAAAGACCAAGGUUAACCGCUUGGACCCAAGAACAAAGAGAUGAUAAGCCAGCGAAAAAAAUGUUUCAUUUACAUUUUGGAGUUUCUGUGCCUGAUAAGGCUUGGAAAAAAGCCAAACGGGCCAAAACCGACUAUACUAUAAGUUUAUGAGGGAACUGAUACCUUAUCUCUGGGAACCCGAAGAAUUCAUUCUUUUAGCUAUACAAGUUAAGCGCACACAGAAUACCGAUAACCGGAUUUCUGUUGAUCUUAAAAAAUUUGAGGCAUUAAAACGUGGAUAAAUUCAAUUUCUAAUGGAGCAUGGAAGAAUUCGGAAUGAUAUGACUACUAAACAAAAGCUGGGAGAAAUACAGAAAUUCGGAAGAAAACUGGGAAUUCUCAUUGCGCAGGACAGACAAGCUUAUUUGAAUAAUUCUGAGGAAUUUCGUAAAGCAAAGUAUUGUGAUAAAAUUCUAACUGAGGCUGAUGAAGAUGAAGACGAAGGAGAGGAUGAUGAUUUUGAGACAUAUGAUGAAGAUGAGGAUGAAGGUGAUACUUUUGAAAGAGAUGAAGAUCAAUAUGCUUUUAAUAGAGUCGAAGAAGAUGAAGAUGAAUACCCGAUAGGAGAUGAUGAUUUUGAGAAUGAAACAGGUUUAUCUGAGGGGGAUCAAUGAAUCGUAAAUUAAAACCGUUCUAUUACCAUUUUUUUAUGUUCAAGAUGUUAAGAUGUUCCUAUUACUAUUUUAAGAAGUUUAAAAAUUACCAUAUUUAUUUUAGUGUUUUACUUUUUGUACUAUAAUUGCUUUUAAAGUUUAAUAAUAAUUUAAAAAAUAUUAUUUUACGAUGUAGGAAUGAUGAUUAUGAAUAUAUUUUUUUUAAAGUGUAAAAUUAUUGAUACCAUACACUUUCAAGUAUACUA